AUAAGAAUGGUUGGUUAACUCAUAAAAGUGGAGAGGAUAUUCAGACACUUAUUCCUAGGAUUGUGGGUUUUGAAUCAAGGGGUUUGAAUUCUCCUUUUAAUUUAUUUAAUGAAAACCAAUCUGUGUGUACGGCAGUUAGUAGUACUGAUGAUGCAUUUGAGUCUACUGGGUCGCUAGUCAGGAAGCGGUUGCUAUCUCCCUUGAGUGGAAUGCUUCACCCAGAG
rnacentral:misc_RNA from 1 species